CCUACGGGAGGCAGCAGUGGGGAAUAUUGCACAAUGGGGGAAACCCUGAUGCAGCGACGCCGCGUGAGUGAAGAAGUAAUUCGUUACGUAAAGCUCUAUCAGCAGGGAAGAAAUACUUACCUUACGGUCAGCAGACGGUACCUGAGUAAGAAGCCCCGGCUAACUACGUGCCAGCAGCCGCGGUAAUACGUAGGGGGGAAGCGUUUUCCGGAUUUACUGGGUGUAAAGGGAGCGUAGACGGUGCGCCAAGUCUGGAGUGAAAUGCCGGAGCUUAACUGCGGAACUGCUUUGGAAACGGGCGAACUAGAGUGCGGGAGGGGUAAGCGGAAUUCCUGGUGUAGCGGUGAAAUGCGUAGAUAUUAGGAGGAACACCGGUGGCGAAGGCGGCUUACUGGACCGUAACUGACGUUGAGGCUCGAAAGCGUGGGUAGCAAACAGGAUUAGAUACCCCAGUAGUC
rnacentral:rRNA from 1 species